GAGCCCUAUUUCUGAUUCCAAACUUUGUUUACUUACUAAUAUUAACUCUGUCACCUGGAUUACAGAUUCAGGUGCCUCUAAUCACAUGACACAUGAUAAACAUCUACUUUUUAACAUCACACCUUUAACUCUGCCAUAUCUUUUCACUCUUCCUAAUGACUAUAAGGUGAAAGUGACAUGCACAGGCUCCUUUGCAUUGACCCCUUCCAUUACUCUUCAC
rnacentral:lncRNA from 1 species